rnacentral:rRNA from 1 species
UCGGGAAUUUUGCACAAUGGCCGAAAGGCUGAUGCAGCAACGCCGCGUGAGCGAAGAAGGCCUUCGGGUUGUAAAGCUCUGUUGCCUGCGAAGAAGGGCCCUGUCAGGAAAUGGGCGGGGUUUGACGGUAGCAGGCGAGGAAGCCCCGGCAAACUACGUGCCAGCAGCCGCGGUAAUACGUAGGGGGCGAGCGUUGUCCGGAAUUACUGGGCGUAAAGGGCGUGUAGGCGGCCUGUUAAGUCAGGGGUGAAAGACCGGGGCUCAACCCCGGGGGUGCCUCUGAAACUGGCGGGCUUGAGUGCUCUAGAGGGCAGUGGAAUUCCCGGUGUAGCAGUGAAAUGCGUAGAGGUCGGGAGGAACACCAGUGGCGAAGGCGGCUGCCUGGGGAGUCACUGACGCUGAGGCGCGAAAGCUAGGGGAGCAAACAGG